CCCUGGUUAGCUCAGUGGGUAGAGCGCUCCACCUGUAAUGGAGAGGUCCCGGGUUCGAUACCCGGACCAGGCG
rnacentral:tRNA from 1 species